AUUGAACGCUGGCGGCAUGCCUUACACAUGCCAGUCGAACGGCAGCACGGGUGCUUGCACCUGGUGGCGAGUGGCGAACGGGUGAGUAAUACAUCGGAACAUGUCCUGUAGUGGGGGAUAGCCCGGCGAAAGCCGGAUUAAUACCGCAUACGAUCUACGGAUGACAGCGGGGGACCUUCGGGCCUCGCGCUAUAGGGUUGGCCGAUGGCUGAUUAGCUAGUUGGUGGGGUAAAGGCCUACCAAGGCGACGAUCAGUAGCUGGUCUGAGAGGACGACCAGCCACACUGGGACUGAGACACGGCCCAGACUCCUACGGGAGGCAGCAGUGGGGAAUUUUGGACAAUGGGCGAAAGCCUGAUCCAGCAAUGCCGCGUGUGUGAAGAAGGCCUUCGGGUUGUAAAGCACUUUUGUCCGGAAAGAAAUCCUUGGCUCUAAUACAGUCGGGGGAUGACGGUACCGGAAGAAUAAGCACCGGCUAACUACGUG
rnacentral:rRNA from 1 species